ensembl:misc_RNA Metazoa_SRP Metazoan signal recognition particle RNA
GCCGGGCAUGGUGGCAGGUGCCUGUAAUCCCAGCCACUCAGGAGGCUGAGGCAGGGGAAUCACUUGAAUCUGGGAGACGGAGGUUGCAGUGAGCUGAGAUCAUGCCACUGCACCCCAUCCUAGGUGAUAGAGUGAGACCCUGCCUCCA